rnacentral:rRNA from 1 species
UACGUAGGUGGCAAGCGUUGUCCGGAAUUAUUGGGCGUAAGGCGCGCGCAGGUGGUUUCUUAAGUCUGAUGUGAAAGCCCACGGCUCAACCGUGGAGGGUCAUUGGAAACUGGGGAACUUGAGUGCAGGAGAGAAGAGUGGAAUUCCACGUGUAGCGGUGAAAUGCGUAGAGAUGCGGAGGAACACCGAUGGCGAAGGCAGCCCCCUGGGCUGACACUGACGCUCAGGCACGAAAGCGUGGGGAGCAAACAGG